rnacentral:rRNA from 1 species
GGCGGCAGGCUUAACACAUGCAAGUCGAGCGGGCGUAGCAAUACGUCAGCGGCAGACGGGUGAGUAACGCGUGGGAACGUACCUUUUGGUUCGGAACAACACAGGGAAACUUGUGCUAAUACCGGAUAAGCCCUUACGGGGAAAGAUUUAUCGCCGAAAGAUCGGCCCGCGUCUGAUUAGCUAGUUGGUGAGGUAAUGGCUCACCAAGGCGACGAUCAGUAGCUGGUCUGAGAGGAUGAUCAGCCACAUUGGGACUGAGACACGGCCCAAACUCCUACGGGAGGCAGCAGUGGGGAAUAUUGGACAAUGGGCGCAAGCCUGAUCCAGCCAUGCCGCGUGAGUGAUGAAGGCCCUAGGGUUGUAAAGCUCUUUUGUGCGGGAAGAUAAUGACGGUACCGCAAGAAUAAGCCCCGGCUAACUUCGUGCCAGCAGCCGCGGUAAUACG